rnacentral:rRNA from 1 species
GACGAACGCUGGCGGCGUGCUUAACACAUGCAAGUCGAACGGAAAGGCCCUGCUUUUGUGGGGUGCUCGAGUGGCGAACGGGUGAGUAACACGUGAGUAACCUGCCCUUGACUUUGGGAUAACUUCAGGAAACUGGGGCUAAUACCGGAUAGGAGCUCCUGCUGCAUGGUGGGGGUUGGAAAGUUUCGGCGGUUGGGGAUGGACUCGCGGCUUAUCAGCUUGUUGGUGGGGUAGUGGCUUACCAAGGCUUUGACGGGUAGCCGGCCUGAGAGGGUGACCGGCCACAUUGGGACUGAGGGACGGCCCAGACGCGUACGGGAGGCAGCAGUGGGAAGUAUUGCACAAUGGGCGGAAGCCUGAUGCAGCAACGCCGCGUGCGGGAUGACGGCCUUCGGGUUGUAAACCGCUUUCGCCUGUGACGAAGCGUGAGUGACGGUAAUGGGUAAAGAAGCACCGGCUAACUACGUG